rnacentral:rRNA from 1 species
CCCUUAGAUGUCCUGGGCCGCACGCGCGCUACACUGAGUGUCUGAGAUACGAGUCUGCCUGGUCCGGCAAGGUCUAGGUAAUCGCUAAAAGACACAUCAUGCUUGGGAUAGAUUAUUGCAAAUAUUAAUCUUGAACGAGGAAUUCCUAGUAAGCGCAAGUCAACAGCUUGCGUUGAUUACGUCCCUGCCCUUUGUACACACCGCCCGUCGCUACUACUGAUUGGAUGUUUAAGCGAGGUUCUCGAACUGCUAUCGACUUAGCUUCGGUGAGGUCGCAGUGUGGGAAGUGAACCUAGCUUUGGUGUCUAGAGGAAGUAAAAGUCGUAACA